rnacentral:rRNA from 1 species
CACCGCGGUUAUACGAGAGGCCCAAGUUGAUAGCGCCCGGCGUAAAGAGUGGCUUAUGUAUUCUUGACUAAAGCUAAACACUUACAUAGUUGUCUAACACUAGCGUGAGCAGGAAAUCCAUACGAAAGUAGCUUUAAUUAUUAUAACCCCACGAAAGUCAUGACA